ensembl:snoRNA snoRNA:Psi28S-1135a snoRNA:Psi28S-1135a
CCGCGUCCCAUGCUAAACUGUGGCCAGAGAACGUUGCCACUCGGUCAUGGGUAGAAUGGGCACGCAGAGCGAACACAAGGUUUUAAUGUCCUAGUGCUUGAAGAUAUCAAAGCCUCUUCUUGUUCUCCGGGAACUUAAAACCACAUUA